rnacentral:miRNA from 1 species
UCAUCAUUGAGUGCAGCAUUG